GGAGAGGUGGCUGAGCGGUUUAAGGCACACGAUUCGAAAUCGUGCGACGGUUAGUACCCGUCCGUGGGUUCAAAUCCCACCCUCUCCGCCA
rnacentral:tRNA from 1 species